GUGCUCGCUUUUGCAGCACAUAUACUAAAAUUGGAACGAUACAGAGAAUAUUGGUAUGGCCCCUGUGCAAGAAUGACAUGCAAAUUCUUGAAGUGUUCCAUAUUUUU